CAUGAGGGUUAAAAGAGUGGCAAUCGAGGCAGCAUCGUAACUGCAGCCCAGGGGCAGACGCCCUGCAUGUGUAGACUUGUAUAUAUACAGUAUCGCGUGUGGUGCUGGUGAUUUCAUUCACACGUCUGUGUUGAAGUCAGUGCAUCACCGCAUAGUAUCUGCGCCCCCUCCCGCUGCCAGACAAGCUAGCCAUGCGAGAAUAAAAGGCUGUUUUGGCGAGCUGGCAGUCCCCAGGUUAGCUCAGUUCAUUGGUGUUGUACACGCCCCAAGCAGCAGGUUGCGCUCCUGUUGUGUUAGUCUCACCGUUACAGCUCUGCCCAUUUUUGCUUUUUUUUGUUUAGUUGUUUUGUUGUAAAUAAAACGGCUAACUGCAAUCUCUGGACUCCUGCUUCUGCUAUUCCCACCGCUAGCCAGCCUGGGCCGCCACGCUACCCUUUCACAGCCGGAGUCAUAGCGUGCAUUUACUUGAGUCUGGGGCUUUCAAGUCCAAGGUUGAGUCAAUACAGACCAGCAGCUGCUGUUGAAAACUCCAGUCUGGACGAUGAAAACCGCUGAGGCUGCCCUAGCAAAACCUGGGAGGGAGGUCCUGCGGAAUAGCUGCACUUACCUUGCUGGGCUGCAGCUGCUGAAACCAGGAGAAGGAAGCAGGCCAGGGAGCGAAGAGGAAGAACCAUUUUGCUGCGUGUCUUAAGAUACACUGGCAGGCAGGGCUCAGUGUUUUACCACAUGAGAUCCUCCGAGAUCAAAGUACUACAGAGAUAAACUGAGAAGUGACUAAGCUGGUGAAAUAUCUGCUUACGUAAGUUACAUACGUUUGACUUUCUCUUCUGUGCAUUUGAAAAAACAAAAUGCAAACCUAUUACCUUUUGGAAAUCUUCCCAGUAUAAUUGAACCCUAGCGGCAGAUACUGGACCCCGUUCAUAAAAGUACUUUUUUUAAAGGAAUGCUUUUAAUCUUUCUAAACACAACAGUGGAAAUGAACUUCAACCCAGGUUCAUGAACUGCAAACAUCAGCUUCCAGCACUUUUACAUUUCCACAUUCACAGGAGUCUCUUAUCUGACUCGUUAUCUGUUGGAGUGUUAGUGUGCAUGUUCACUGAGACUCUUUUCACGAUAUGUGUGGGACUUUUGCACUUACUGAGAACUGAUUUGGAUUUUGAAGAGCGCAGUCAUUUUUUUUAAAUAAAAAAAAAAAAACUAGAAUGAUUUUUUUAUGAAUAUGGCCCAGCACAUGUUAUCUUCCUUGUUCUUCAUUUUUUUUUAAAUAAUAAUAAUAAUAAACUUGAAUGAUUUUUUUUUAUGAAUAUGGCCCAGCACAUGUUAUCUUCCUUGUUCUUCAUUUUUUUUAAAAUAAUAAUAAUAAUAAACUCGAAUGAUUUUUUUUAUGAAUAUGGCCCAGCACAUGUUAUCUUCCUUGUUCUUCUUUUUUUUUUUUUACUCACACACGGUCGAAGAAGAAGAAAUAAACAGUAUUUAGUUCCAAAUGUAUUUUAUUAAGAUGCAAAUCGCUAAGCAACCAUAAUGUAUUAAAGCUACACAUGUGGUAUUUAAACCUGAUACUCCCUAUUCUGGCUCUUUGUCAUCAUUAGUUUUUGUUGGGGGGGGUGAUUAAGAUCAAUAAUAAUGAAAAUACUUACAAUAUAUAUUUGUUACACAGUUAUAAGAACGAAUUCACUGUGAGAUGUGUGCAAUGGUAUAUCAGUUGUUAACAUUUUGUGGUCCCGUCUGCAUUGCUUAAGGUGGGUUCAAAUAAAAUAUAAAUUAAAAAAAAUGUAAUAUUGUGUAUAUAUAUAUAUAUAUAUAUAUAUAUAUAUAUAUAUAUAUAUAUAUAUAUAUAUAUAUA